rnacentral:rRNA from 1 species
UACGUAGGUGGCGAGCGUUGUCCGGAUUUAUUGGGCGUAAAGCGCGCGCAGGUGGUGCGGUAAGUCUGCCGUGAAAUCUCCCGGCUCAACUGGGAGGGGGCGGUGGAGACUGCCGGACUAGAGGGACUCAGAGGCCGGUGGAAUUCCCGGUGUAGUGGUGAAAUGCGUAGAGAUCGAGAGGAACACCAGUGGCGAAGGCGGCCGGCUGGGGGUGCCCUGACGCUGAGGCGCGAAAGCGUGGGGAGCGAACCGG